CACAAUUUUACACUGCUUCUGCUUUCCGAAUCGUUCCGUGAUUCAAUUUGUUGUUAUGAUUGUACUAAGAAAUGCGUAAGUCUUGGAAGUCGGCCCUGCUCAUCUUCUUAACACCAAACUUGGCAACCUUGAGACUUCGAGUACAUUCACAAGAGGAGCUAAUAAAGUUGGAAACGUGUGCAAGGAGGUCCUUUACUUUGCAAGAAAAGAGAACAGGCAGUGACAUGUACCAACCAGGCUUCUCUUGAUCUCUGCGACUAAUUACAGACUUGUCAAUAUUGGUUCAUUCAGGCACAAAUUGCAGAACUACAAAAUAGGUUGUGUUCAUUGCACUCAACAGAGGAUGAGUUACAAGUGUUAAGGAACCAGAAACCAGCCUUUGAGAGAGAUAGGAGUUCACUACUAAGGGUACAACGCAGAAACAAAAAUCAUGUGGAGUUUGGCAGUAGAUUGCAGGAGGUACACGCAUCUCAUAAAGUACUAAGAUUCAAAACUUGAAAUGAGGGGUUGUGCAAUAUUCUGACGAAUAAGUAGCACCUAGCAAAAAAUUUCCGCUGACAAAUUUAUAUAUCCGUAAGCCUGACAUCAUUUGAAUAAUCUUAUUUCAUGUGGAAGAUGCGCAAGCCUGCACUUCUCUAGCAAGUUUCAGAUGUUGUGGGAAGAAAUAGAAUUAUACAAGAUUUCUUCAAUUUAAUAUACUUGCUUGUUGGAAGUUUUACCUGUAUUAAAUUUAUCAUAU